rnacentral:rRNA from 1 species
CCUACGGGAGGCAGCAGUAGGGAAUAUUGGUCAAUGGGCGGAAGCCUGAACCAGCCAUGCCGCGUGCAGGAAGAAGGCCCUCUGGGUUGUAAACUGCUUUUGACAGGGAACAAGUCGGCCAUGCGUGGCUAAGUGAGUGUACCUGUAGAAUAAGCCACGGCUAACUACGUGCCAGCAGCCGCGGUAAUACGUAGGUGGCAAGCGUUGUCCGGAUUUAUUGGGUUUAAAGGGUGCGUAGGCGGCCAUGUAAGUCAGUUGUGAAAUACCCCGGCUCAACCGGGGGGGUGCGAUUGAUACUGCGUGGCUUGAGUGGCAGCGAGGUUGGCGGAAUUGACGGUGUAGCGGUGAAAUGCAUAGAUAUCGUCAAGAACACCGAUAGCGAAGGCAGCCAACUAGGGGCCAACUGACGCUGAGGCACGAAAGUGCGGGGAUCAAACAGGAUUAGAUACCCUGGUAGUCCGCACAGUAAACGAUGAUCACUCGGUNUUGGCGAUAUACAGCCAGCGCCCGAAGGGAAACCGAUAAGUGACUCCACCGUACGGGAGGACGGCCGGCCGAACGGUACGUAAACGUUAAAGUAGUAAGUUAGUACGGCGUGAGACGUAGACCGAACGGACGACGACGAGGGAGGAGG